rnacentral:lncRNA from 1 species
GAGGGAGUCUUCCCCAAAGCAGCAAUACAGCACAAGACUUUAAACACUCAAGCUUCUCAGAAACGAUAGUGGAUAGGAUGGAGGGAGAGGUGAGUGAAACAGUAAGUAUGCCUCUGUGAAGGACACAUUUCUCGGAAAAUCAAGCCACACUUUGACUGCAGAUAAUGUACUGAAUUUGGUCCCUGUGUCAGGACACCUCUGUAGUUAACUGGGGAGAUAGGAAUGCUAUAUUCCCUUGUCAGGCCCAAAGGAACACGGUACAUCAGAAGAAUAACGAGAACUGAGAAACCCAGCAGGAGCCUAAAAUGAGUAUACUGUACAAAUGCAUAUCCUGAACCCUCUCAUGUGGGUACACCUAAGUAGCAGCUACUGGCUUACCAGAGUGACUGUGUUUUUUGCCACAAUUUGGACAGCCUCUGCCCCAGGCCCAGUGACCUUACUAGACGUCUGGAGGUUGACUGGUGUGUUCUGCACAUCAGUGCUGAGCACAGCCUUCUGACUGUUGAUGGCGGUCACCAUAGCAAUGGUAGGUCUCUGGCCCACAACAGAGGCAGGCAUGGUCGCAGUUGCUGCUUUCAAGACGAGAGGCCAAACUUCAAGUGUUCAAAAUGUGUCCAGUGGCUACCAACCUGGACAGCGGAGACAGAGCAUUUGUAGCACUGCACAAAGUUCUACUGGACAGCACUGUUCCAGACCACUGAAAAGUAAACUUCCUCUUUCUGCAACACACGACUUGGACAACUUCACUCAGGAAUUUCUAUUUCAGUGUCUAUAUUGCUUAAUUUUGAAUAGAAAUUCACCAUUGUUCACUGAAACAACCACAAAUACAAGACUUCUUCCCCUUUGCCUAUGAGGAUAUAUUUUGUUUGGUUUUAUUAACUGUACUCUUACAUUUGUAUUUUAUCAUUAAAAACAAUAGCUUGUGAAUAUAGGUUGAAG